rnacentral:SRP_RNA from 1 species
AGGCCGGUGACGGACGGGCGCCUCGCCAACCCGGUCAGGUCCGGAAGGAAGCAGCCGCAACGGGUCACGCCCGGGUCGCUUUGCCGGUCUUCC